CAAGCGGCGGCGCUGGGCUCGCUCCUCUCUUUCGCGCUCCCGUGCGCGCCGCGCCUCUCUAGCCCCUCGCUUCCUGCUCAGCAGCGCCUGCGAGUGCCCUCAGUAGCCAUUAUUCACUGGCCGCCGGGGGACAGGAGAUGGCUUUCCUGGUUGUUCCUUGGUGUGUCCUCUACUGACAGUGAACACAACUGGGGGAAUCUUCGCAGUGUUUCAAGCCUAGGAAGGACAACCCAUGGCCGCCAUGAAGAGAUUCAGUGUGGGGCCAGGGAAGCUGAAAGCAGGGCUAACGGGACUGGCUGAGCAGCUAACAGAGCUUCUGUGAUCUGCUGUCCAUGCUGAACCCAGAGCAGCUUCACACCCGGGCAUGGGAACCUAUCCCUCAGGAACCAUCAGCCAAAGCCUUCAUGAUGCCCCUCCCACCUGUUAAUUACCUUCCUGCCAUCUGUAACUUCAUCAUGCCAAAGAGGUCUCUUCUCAUCCAUUAACUGUCCUGUGAGUGAAUGGUCUUCUGCCUGGGUCCAACAUGGAUAACCUGUUACCUUCCCUCUUCCGAGCUCCAAUAUCAUUUAUGAGUACAUCAACCCAGGUUAGCUAUCAGACCUCCCUCGGUGUAGAUCUGAUGUGUUCUCAAACCGACCAAGCUAAUCUACUGCCAUAGCUCUGCUUUGCCAUUUACCUGUGGAGUACACUUGGCAUGCCAGUGGCAUGGAGUGGUGUAGGCAUUCACUGCCAGCCUGUGCCUUACUGUCCACAUUAGAACCCUCUGCCACAUAGCACUCCUUAGGGGAGGACAACAUGUUUCUCUUUGAAAGCAAAGAACUUUGUAUCUCAAUUGGUGGUGAUGCCACUGGGAAUGUGGGCAUCCCAAUUCAUAGUUUGUGGGAAAUUUUCAAACAGUCCAUGUGGUCCCUAGCCCACCUUCCUCUCCAGAUCCCACAGGCUGACAGUGGGGAUCAGAAAACCAGCUGGGUACCUAGGGCUGGUGCUGGCAAAAACAAGGUAGAAGGCUGCCCAGAUGACCAUUGCUCCCACUUAGGGACAGAAAUGCAUCUCUGCCUCUGCCCUAGGCUGGUGGGAUCUCUGAUGUAAGUGAAAAAGCAGGGAUCAGCCUAGAGCAGGCUCUCUCCAGCCGUCUUCCCUCUCAGCUGACUCUGAUCUCCAUCUGUGGUUCUCCCUACCAUCUGUCAGUCUGUCCAACCUUCCUCACUAGCCUGCUGAGGUCACCAGGGGCAGCCAGUGCCACUCUAGGCUCCUACAGAGCAAAUCCUAAAACAAAGCCUCUCAAUCUAACCCUAAGGAACUCUAGCUGCAGCAAAAGCAUCACUUCUGAACCCAGAGUCACUUCCUGGGGAGUCGAAGGUGAUCUCUCCAUUUAGGGUCUUAGCAGUGCUUCCGGGGUGCAGGUGCUUAACUUUUCUUCUAUCACAGGCCUGAGUGAACUUCUAGAAGCCUCGAAACUUAUUUGGUUGGGGCCAGUCGUACAGAGGCCUGGAGGGAAAGGAGGAAGCCAUCUGGGCUGUCGCCAUGGCUAGACCCGGAGGACAGCCUCACUAGGCCACAUAUGUCUUUAUCACAGCUGGAAUCCAAACCCGGGGAUGUGCAGGGAAUUCAGAAGGGGCCUACUGCCUAGGUAAGAGAGAGGAGCCCCUGCCCACCCGCAGUCUCCACUCUGGCACUUCGGCCACGGUUCUGCCACCCCUCCUCUGCUCCCUGCCUUCCUCUCCCUCUCAUUGGCUCUCAGCCUCCCUCCUGCAUCACCUAGCUGGUCUUCCUUUCCAGCUAUCCAAACCUCCUAUCUUUCCCCUCAUAUUCCAAAGAGCUUGUUCCUCCACCUCUAAGCCUCACCUGCAGUUUGGAGGCUUCCAGAAGAAAAAAUGAGUGUCUGUAUCAGGAAAGCACUGUCAAGACCUAUGUGCAAUGGCUGCUCAGAAACCAGCACAUGAACACACCACCUGGGUUGGGUUAGGCUGGGCACCUCACCUGGAUGCCACUCGGCCCCAGGUGCCCAAGAAUGGGAACAAUGAUGAUGCCAGCCUCUGCCUUUCUUCGGGGCCCAGGGAACUGAGGACAGUACCAAGUCUAGGAUGGUAGGCCAAGUCCUGGCCAGGCCUCUUAAGGCCUGACAACAGUCACAGACUUUGGGGGGAGGGGGAUGGAGAAGACUUGGAAAGAACUGAAGAGAUGGUAUAGCCAAACUCAUCUCACAGCGGGCUAGACGCCUGGGCUCAGCCAUGUGAAACAGUAGCAGGCUACAAGCAGAAGCCUCGGAGGUGGAAAAACUCUGAUGCACAGAGAUAUGUACAGGAGUCUACCUAGAUAUGGCACAUAAAAACCAAACCAAAACAAACAAACAAACAGCAGAAGAUGGUAUGGUGACAUACCUGUGUAAUUUCAGCACUUGGGAGGCCAAGGUAGGAGGAUUGCUACAAGUCUGAGACGAGCCUGGGCUAUAAAGUGAGUCUCUGUCAACAAAUAAAAUAAAUAUGGCAUGUGCAGUCAGGACAUGCAGACUCCUCUACUGUAAAGAAUGGUGUACCUUAUACAUACACAGGUGCCACCCAUCUGCCUUCACACUGCUGCUCUCAGGAUCAGAGUCCCUUGACUUGUGGGCCUCUCUGGAUGGCUCAGGACCUCUAGCCUCCUUUGAUCUGUGGCAACAGGAAUGCUCCCUAUGGACUUCUCCCGGCCCCAGGGCAAUGAGGACUUCCUGGAGACUGGGAGGACAAGGACACAGGGAAGAACCCUCACAGAGCCUGCUUCUGGGGACUAGGCCAGAGAGCUACUUGAACCUGCAGAGAUUUAGAUUACCUCCAGGAAGGAAUGAUGGGUGAUCAAAACUGACCCUGGUGUGGCCUUCCGAAGGCAGAGGCAGGAGGAUUGCCAGCUCUAGGCCAGUCUAGGCUAUGCUGCAAGGCUGUGUUGAAAACAACCAAACAACAAACACAGAAACCUGACCCUUGGUUCCGCAUGUUCAAAGCCCUGGGUUCAGUUCCCAGUACCAUAAAAAGAAUCUGUCCCUGGAAGGUCAGACAGAGUUCCUGAGGAGGACUUUCAUAGUCAGCUGUGUGAUGAUCUACCACAAAUCUGGGAAGAGGAGAAAGAGAUCAGGAUGUCUGUUCCAGUUUUCUGCCCAGCUUAGCUUCCUCCAGAAUCUCCUGGGUUGAGUUCAAAGGAAAGGUAGUUGAGGCCAGUGAGAUGGCUCAGCAAGUAAAGGUGUCUGCAGCCAAGCCUGAGGACCUGGGUUCAAUCCCCAGAUACACAAGGCAGAGCGAGAACCAACUCUGCACAGUACAAGGGUGAUUUUUUUUUUUAAAGGAAGGGUGACAUGCAGAGCUGGUUGCCCACUCUGCCAGACAUCCCACAUAGGACCUCACAGCAAACUUUUGAGGCAUAUGUUCAGAGUCCUCUAGAGCAAUGUUGAAACUGCAGCUUGGAGAACAGAAGAGACAUCGGCCUAAGUGACUGGGAGGCUGAGCCUCUCCCGGAAGGCUCCAAAGGCUCCAAAAAAACGUAAAGCAUGGUCUCUUCUGUUAAGGCCAGAAAUACAAUGGCACUGCUGUCUCUCCCUAAAUGCUGGUGACACUCUUGAAAAGAGGCCACUCAAGCCUACCUGGCUGAGGUGAGAAUACAGCUCCUAGGCCCUUAACUGCAGAAUGGACAGGGCAAAGAACCAAGUCUGCCAGCCAUGUUUCUCCCAGGUCUGUUUCUCACUCUAAGGCUGUUAGGCCUUUGAUUUGGAUAUGGUUGAGUCCCUCCCAACUCAUAAAGGAAUUUACCCCCUGG